GUACUGCUGAAUGGUUCCAAAUAGGACGAAACAGCUUUCCAGUAC
rnacentral:hammerhead_ribozyme from 1 species